rnacentral:ncRNA from 1 species
CAAAGGGGUGCUGGGUUUUCCCGGCUGAGACGGCGUGAAUUGAAGCGCCGGCACCCUCAGACCUGAUCCGGAUAAUGCCGGCGUAGGAAACAGUG